ACCCUUUGCUCUGGGGAAACCAGCUGCUACAUCACCAUCAGCCUUGUGACCAUGCCACAUGGUAAGGAGCUGAAAUCUCAGCAGCCACAUGAGUGAGCUCGGCAGCGGAUCCUUUAGGCCCCGUCAUGCAAUCCUGGAUUGCAGCCCUGGACAUCCACUUAACUAGCAAGACUGAGCCAGAACCACCCAGAUGAGCUGCUCCUGGAUUCCCAACUCUCAAAAACUGUGAGAGAUGUUCAACGGUGGUUGUUUGAAACUGCUGAGUCUCAGUAUAAUUUGUUACACAGCACUAGCUAACUCAUACACGUCACGUUUCUGCAGCAGAAUACCUUGGACCUGGGGAGAGCUGGAGAUAAUUACUCAGUACCACCCAGUACAUGGGAAAGUGAUUACUGACAGGCUCAGAAAUGUUAAGAAGAUGCUUAAAAGAAAUGGGCUCAUGAGCCUUCUUUGCUGAAGUAUUAAUUACUAGAUCUGAAUGUUUUGCUUUUCUGUGAUGGAAAACGUGAAGAAAAUAGGGCUUUUUUUUUUCUUUUGAAGAGAUGGGAUUUCCCUCUGUCGCUUAGGCUUAACUGCAGUGAUUCAGUCAUAGCUCACGGCAGCCUCAAACUCCUGGACUCAAGCAAAUGACUGAUAUUUUUUGAGCACCAGCAGUAACGAUAGUUACUAUUCACUGUUUUCUCCCUGCCAGGUGUUCCACAGACAUCCUACAUGCAUGACAUUGAUUCACUCUUACAUUUGACAGGAUUGCAGGAGCUCCUCAGACAAGAUCUGUGGCAACAGUAACAAUAAAAGCAUCCCAUGCGGACCAAACUCCUGCUGCAGAACCUGGCCGUCCACUCCACCCACGUGCCUUAGCAAAGUGCCCUUGGUGAGGCUGAGGGACUAGGCAGCCAGGACUCCUGAGGGGACCUUAUCAGAGAGGGAAGCCACCUCGGACUGAGUGGUGAGUGCUGCUCUAGGACUGCCCUAAAACUGGAUUUGAACAAAAGACCACAUGCCGUAUGACUCCAUUGGAAUGAAACAUCCAGAACAGGCAAAGCCACAGA
rnacentral:lncRNA from 1 species